rnacentral:rRNA from 1 species
UACGUAGGCAGCGAGCGUUGUUCGGAAUUACUGGGCGUAAAGAGUGUGUAGGCGGUGCUCUAAGUUCGGUGUGAAAUCUCCUGGCUUAACUGGGAGGGUGCGCCGGAAACUGGAGUGCUCGAGCGUGGGAGAGGAAAGCGGAAUUCCUGGUGUAGCGGUGAAAUGCGUAGAUAUCAGGAGGAACACCGGUGGCGAAGGCGGGUCUCUGGGCCGAUACUGACGCUGAGGAGCGAAAGCGUGGGGAGCGAACAGG